UACGUAGGUGGCAAGCGUUGUCCGGAAUUACUGGGCGUAAAGGGCGCGUAGGCGGGAAGGUAAGUCAGAUGUGAAAUUCCGGGGCUCAACCCCGGCGCUGCAUCUGAAACUAUCUUUCUUGAGUGCUGGAGAGGAAAGCGGAAUUCCUAGUGUAGCGGUGAAAUGCGUAGAUAUUAGGAGGAACACCAGUGGCGAAGGCGGCUUUCUGGGACGGUACUGACGCUGAGACGCGAAAGCGUGGGGAGCGAACAGG
rnacentral:rRNA from 1 species